ACCCCGGAUGCUGCACAGUGAUUGCCUCCUGUGUAGUGGUUCAGCUGCCAAUGAGUGUGUGGUGACAGUCAAUAUGGAGAGGUGAGUGCCACUGUCUGGCAUGUGCCAUUGUUUGCAUGGAAGGAAUACCCUUUCAGAGACACCUAUCUCAUCUCUUCAGUGAUGCAGAGAGACUAAUGUGAGGCUUGUGUUGCUAACCAUGGAGAUUUCCAGCCCAAGUCUCUUUAUCUCAGCAACUCAAACGGACUCCCAUUACAAUCAGUGAAGAGCUAGUCAAUAUAUGGAUCUAGAGCAUGAUUCACCCCCUCCUAUCCUGCACAGGUGAAUCACAUUGUAAACUCUGUCGCGCUUGGGAAACAGAUGCAAACAGCUGCCCUGCAUAUACGGAGGGAGAGGGAUGAUGAAUCUCAGCAAAAAGAGUAUCCCAAGGUCAUUUGGGAAAUAUGAGGUAUCAAACAAGGACAUGCUAAUGUUUGAACCUCGUGUCUAACGUAUAAAGAAUUUUCAAAACACUGCUUUUUUUUUUUUUUUUAAUAAUAAAAGUAGUCAGACCAGGUAGAUAUUUUAA